rnacentral:rRNA from 1 species
GGCGAACGCUGGCGGCGUGCUUAACACAUGCAAGUCGAACGGAAAGGCCCUGCUUUUGUGGGGUGCUCGAGUGGCGAACGGGUGAGUAACACGUGAGUAACCUGCCCUUGACUUUGGGAUAACUUCAGGAAACUGGGGCUAAUACCGGAUAGGAGCUCCUGCUGCAUGGUGGGGGUUGGAAAGUUUCGGCGGUUGGGGAUGGACUCGCGGCUUAUCAGCUUGUUGGUGGGGUAGUGGCUUACCAAGGCUUUGACGGGUAGCCGGCCUGAGAGGGUGACCGGCCACAUUGGGACUGAGAUACGGCCCAGACUCCUACGGGAGGCAGCAGUGGGGAAUAUUGCACAAUGGGCGGAAGCCUGAAGCAGCAACGCCGCGUGCGGGAUGACGGCCUUCGGGUUGUAAACCGCUUUCGCCUGUGACGAAGCGUGAGUGACGGUAAUGGGUAAAGAAGCACCGGCUAACUACGUG